ensembl:lncRNA novel transcript, antisense to PCDHB5, PCDHB6, PCDHB7, PCDHB8, PCDHB9, PCDHB10, PCDHB11, PCDHB12, PCDHB13, PCDHB14 and PCDHB16
CUUGAGCAACUGCUACGACAGCCAGGCGUUCUGGCCCGAGUCACCGUCCACCGCCACCACCUUGGUCACCAGGUAGCCCGGCUCGGCCGCCCGGGGCACCAGCUCGGUGCAAGGCGCCGAGCCGUUCUGCAGCGGAUACAGCACGAAGGGCGAGUUGUCGUUGGCGUCCAGCACCAGCACGCGCACCAGCGCCUCGCUGCUCAGCGCCGGGGAGCCGCGGUCUGUGGCUCCCACGCGGAACUCGAACGCCUGCAGGGCCUCGUAGUCCAGCGACCUGAGGGCAAACAGGUGGCCGUUGUCCGCGUUGAUGGAGACCAGGGAGGCGAGGCGCAGGUGUGGGUUCUGGGGCGGCAGCAGCGAGUAGGUGACCUGGGCGUUGGUGCCUGAGUCUCUGUCUGUGGCGCUGACACUGCCGAUGUGCAGGGCGGGGCUGUUGUUCUCUCGGACGAACAGGGUGUAGGAGGUUUGGGUGAAGGCGGGGGCGUUGUCAUUGACGUCGGAGACCAGGACCGUUAUGUUGUGCUCGGUUUUCAGCCUGGGUGUCCCCAUGUCGGUGACAGUGAUGGUGAUGUU